UACGAAGGGGGCUAGCGUUGCUCGGAAUCACUGGGCGUAAAGGGUGCGUAGGCGGGGCUUUAAGUCAGGGGGGAAAUCCUGGAGCUCAACUCCAGAACUGCCUUUGAUACUGAAGAUCUUGAGUUCGGGAGAGGUGAGUGGAACUGCGAGUGUAGAGGUGAAAUUCGUAGAUAUUCGCAAGAACACCAGUGGCGAAGGCGGCUCACUGGCCCGAUACUGACGCUGAUGCACGAAAGCGUGGGGAGCAAACAGG
rnacentral:rRNA from 1 species